UACGAAGGGUGCAAGCGUUGCUCGGAAUUAUUGGGCGUAAAGGGUAGGUAGGUGGUUACGUAUGUCUGAGGUGAAAUCCCUGAGCUUAACUUAGGACGUGCCUUGGAAACGGCGUAACUAGAGUACUGGAGAGGUUUGCAGAAUUCCUGGUGUAGCGGUGAAAUGCGUAGAGAUCAGGAGGAAUACCAGAGGCGAAGGCGGCAAACUGGACAGUUACUGACACUCAACUACGAAAGCGUGGGGAGCAAACAGG
rnacentral:rRNA from 1 species